rnacentral:rRNA from 1 species
AUGAAGACCGGUGUGAUCAUGGUUGUUGGGCUGAUUUUCAUCAACAUAUGCGUCUGCAUGCCAAUAAAUGUGGCAAACCAUGCAUCUCACGAUACUGUGCCAGAGAUGAAAAUGCACAGUCUAAUGUCUGGCACUGAUGGCUGGAACGGGCCUCUGAGCAACGAUCACCAGUGCCCACUAGGGACCUACCCUAAUUGCCGAGGGAUGUCCCAGAAUACUCAAGAAGCAGCUCAAGAUGUUGGAAGAAACUAA